UACGGGGGGGGCAAGCGUUGUUCGGAUUUACUGGGCGUAAAGGGCGCGUAGGCGGCCAGCACAAGUCAGUUGUGAAAUCUCCGAGCUUAACUCGGAAAGGUCAACUGAUACUGUGCGGCUAGAGUGCGGAAGGGGCAACUGGAAUUCUUGGUGUAGCGGUGAAAUGCGUAGAUAUCGAGAGGAACACCUGCGGCGAAGGCGGGUUGCUGGGCUGACACUGACGCUGAGGCGCGAAAGCGUGGGGAGCAAACAGG
rnacentral:rRNA from 1 species